CUAGGAGGCCUCUGCC
rnacentral:miRNA from 1 species